ensembl:lncRNA
GAUUCAAUCUCUUUCUCCUGGUAGCUCCAGCUGAGAGAAGGUACUCUUACGGCUCCGCGUACUACGCUUCAGCCAAAAUGGAGACGAAGCAACUCAAGCCUGGACGAGACAUGAAUCAGAGCGAUCAGGAGACCCAACAUUUCACUCCAGAAAUUCUGUUUUUAUGGAUCAACAGAUGUUCACGAAAACAGGAUAUUUCUUUCUAAGUGUUCUCUCUGCAACUCCUCCACACUCGAGUUCAACAUCCUCUCCUUAGCAUAACAGUCAUUUGCAGAAACCAACUGUGUUGUCAAAUGAGGCAUAAGCAGGAAGAGCAGAUGAGCAGUAAAGAAGCAUAGAUCACAUUUUCAUGCAAAUAUACCACUAAUAAGCUAAGAGAACAGCCUUUCUCUUGAGAAUAAACAUGAUAGUUGGUGGAAUUAGCAUACAAAUGAAACCUUUUUCUAACUUUUCUAGGAGGUGCCACUUGCUAUAGUUCUUUUAAUUCCUGUAUGUUCAAGGAACUAGUUAUGCUUUUCAGUUUGUGCCUAUGACAUUUUUGGAAAAUGAGUAUCCCAAACUCAUAAGAAUGUGAUAUAAUAAUGCUAUAUUUUGUUUCAGUUUGUUGGUCUGAAACUUUUUCAGCUGUUCCCAGUUGUUAGAAGUGAAGCAAGCAGCUUGAAUUUAUACUUGGAUUUAAAAGAACCUCUGAGGAAAUAGCAAGCUAGAAAACCCUACUAGUGCCUUGGGUGUUAUAUUCCACCUUUGCUAAUCAGACAUACAUGAAAGUCAUUUCAAAUAGCCUUUGAAGACCGCACUGAAGCAAUUGAUAUAUUCACUUUUUCCCCAUGAAAAUGACCUUUCCCAGGGGCUGAGACAUUUCCAUUAGUGGAUAUUUUCCGGUAAGGCAUUUCUUAUAUAUUUUUUCUUUUUGAAAGGCUAACAUCUCAUAUGCUUUGAAGUUCAGGUGGAAAUGAAAACAAGUUUUCAGUAUCUCCAUAAGAUCAUUCAAAAUCUUGAAAGUAAAAAGUACUUUCUAUAGUUGAAAUUCUCCAGGCUAUUGUGUAGGAUAGUGUAUAAGCUAUUUUGAUAUUUCCUCUCAAUAAAAAAAUCAUUACCUUUUUCCUCUCCUCUGGUGAAUCCAGAAAGGAGUCUUAUUAGAGAAACUCUUAUUUGUUCAUUAUAGUCUGAAUAAUGAUUAUGUCAUUGCUUUAAUUUGAAAGCAUUUUGCAGAAUGGGCUGGAUUAGGAACUGCAGUCACUGACAAACUUUGUAUUGGUAACUAACCAUUUGCAGUGCAGUACCCAGGAACUGUAGGCUUCUGGCAGAAUCACUAAGAAAAGGCAUGUUAAUUGCAAGUAGGCAACAUGGAACUAGUCCUGAUGUUAUUCUAUCCUGAGAGAUGAUUUGUUCACUUCAUAUAGUUUAGUUUGAUCCAAAAUCUUUAUGUGACUGUGUAUCUCAAUUGUGUAUGUCAGUAGGUAUGUAAUUGGGAAAUUAGUUGUACAAGGAUCUUGAGGUAUCCUCAAGGCCAAAGUAGUCUACAGAAAUGGUAUUCAGAGGAACAAAUGUACAUGCAGGUAGCAGAUUAAAAGUACUCGCCACUUUACUCACUAAAAACAGACAUUUAUUUUGUGUAACAGAACAAGUGAGAAAGAGAGUAUCUUCAAAAGUUGGUGGGAGGAUUAUUUUUUUUUAAUUUGAAAACUAUAUAGGUAUUUUAGAAAAACACUUUGUGAUUAACAUCAAACAAUGUCAAUCAAGAACUGGAAGUAAACUGUAGGGUUUUAUAUAUAUACCCUAUCAGGUGUAAAUUCCUGUCAUUUCAGACAUCAACUGACCAAAUAUCAAAGAACUUACAGCCCAUCAGUUCAGGCAUAUGAACAAAUCCUCUGCUUUAACAUUAACAUUAGAAAAUCAACGUAUAGAAAUUCUAUCCUUUUAGUCUUUUUAAAAAAGUUUUAAUAUUACUAUUCCAUGCUCAAUGGUUCUCAUCAACCAUAGGUCAUUAAUAUAUUUUCAAAGUUCCAGAACAGCCAGUGAUGCUGUGAUGUUGAACAAUGUGCCCUUGAGACGUGCUGCCAGAAGAAUAUUGCCUUUCAGGCAUUUUUGACUGCUGAGUUCAGAGGGCAAGUUUGAUCAAUGUAAAGUAAGAAAGAUAGUUUGAAAUAUUAAUUUGAUUCAGAUCUAGAAAUGACUGCCUAGAAAAUGAUGGUUCUUCACACAACUUUCUGAAUGUUAUUUUGAACCCAUAAAUGUGUUACUUCUUUUAAGUGAUAAUGUUCAUUUCUCUGUUCAAGAACCAAGACGGUAAUUUGCUUAGGAAGUUAUAUUUGGGUGUUUUGUUUUUGUUAUAGAAAGUUAAUGGAUUUAUGCAAAAUUUCUUGAUUGCUUGAAUAAAUGUUCUCCUCG